UUGCGUUUCUCUGAGUGUGUCUGGCUGUUUUCAUCGCGAUCUGAUUGUUUAGAAGGGUGGUUGGCCUGUUUUUCUCGCUGUUUUCCGCGGAAAAAUCGCAAUGGUUUGGGUGCGUUGGUUGCUGUGUGCCGUUAUUUUGUGCUUGGCUGGAAACGCUUAUCUUCCAACUUUAGGGUUUUGUUGUGGGAGUUUGCAAACCCUUUUUGGGCCAGGUAUAUAAUUUAUCUUUGCACUUUGUUUUUUUGGGCUAAUUUUUUUUAUUUGGAUCUUUUGGUGGUUUGUGCUUUGAUUUUUGUCUGAAUAUUUAAAAAGUCAGAGAUAGCGAUGGUUAGUUUUGGGUUUCCCUUGCCACCAGAAGCAUUCGGCUCGACGAUAAGGUCGUCAAGGUCCAGAUUUGGAACACCACCGGCCAGGAAAGGUUGAUCAUGUUGUUUCAUUUUGUGAAACAGUGUAGCCUUCGUCAAUCAAAUGCUUUGCUGAAACAUCCAAUAAGAAGAAUAAAAUAACCAUGAUUGUAGAGCCAUUGGAGAGAGGACUUGCUGAGGACAUUGAGAAUGUAUAUAAGCUACAAUGUUCAUUUCUGCAAUGCAGGUUGAAUUCAAUUAGAACUCACUUUUUUGUUUUCUGUUUUGUAUCUGCCUUGAUCAUUAGUUGGUGAUCUCUUGUAUUGGAAUUUCCUGGUUUUUUGAGUUUCUGAAAAAAGAGAAAAUGUUAAUGCAUUUAUAUGUGUGAAGAUGCGCGCGCUCUUCACUGAUAUUCCAUUCUCAUUUCUGUUCUCCCUCAUUCAUAUGUAAAUGCUUUGUUGUAUCUUGUCCUCUGCCCAUUGGUCAUAAAUAUAGUAUCUAUGCAUUCUUUAUCUUAUUCUUGAAUACCCACGCUGAUUGGGAGAUCAUUUGUUGUUUCAAGGUUGAAGGUAGUCUGCAUGUUCAUGAACUUGUCAAUUUAAUAUGUUCUUAGUUGAAGUUGUAGAAGGGUUGCAGUGAAUUUGUGGAGAUUUUUGUAUGGUAAAUUAUGACUGCAAACCCCUUGAAAAUCUACUUUUCCUUGGUAUUUAUAUGUCAUAUCUCAGUGUUGUCCUCAACUCUAAUCACUUUCAGUUGGACUUGAGUUAACGUUAUUCUUACAAAAUUUGUGGGUUUGAUUUUGGGUGCAAGCUGUAGCUGAUGAUCAGAUUCAAGUUAUUGAGAUGAUUAAGCUCUUGGAAACAAAGGGUUCGAAGACUUUUUAAAGUUUGGUUACAACAUUUGUACAAAAUUCUAUAAAAUAUCAGUUAUGCAAAUUUAUAGUUGUAUUCUUACAUUUUAAUGAUAUAACAAUUUGUUUUCUCACCAAAAAUAGAAAAGGAAAUAUGAUACUCUAAUUUGGGUG